rnacentral:rRNA from 1 species
AGAGUUUGAUCCUGGCUCAGGAUGAACGCUGGCGGCGUGCCUAAUACAUGCAAGUCGAACGCGAGCACUUGUGCUCGAGUGGCGAACGGGUGAGUAAUACAUAAGUAACCUGCCCUAGACAGGGGGAUAACUAUUGGAAACGAUAGCUAAGACCGCAUAGGUACGGACACUGCAUGGUGACCGUAUUAAAAGUGCCUCAAAGCACUGGUAGAGGAUGGACUUAUGGCGCAUUAGCUGGUUGGCGGGGUAACGGCCCACCAAGGCGACGAUGCGUAGCCGACCUGAGAGGGUGACCGGCCACACUGGGACUGAGACACGGCCCAGACUCCUACGGGAGGCAGCAGUAGGGAAUUUUCGGCAAUGGGGGAAACCCUGACCGAGCAACGCCGCGUGAAGGAAGAAGGUUUUCGGAUUGUAAACUUCUGUUAUAAAGGAAGAACGGCGGCUACAGGAAAUGGUAGCCGAGUGACGGUACUUUAUUAGAAAGCCACGGCUAACUACGUGCCAGCAGCCGCGGUAAUACGUAGGUGGCAAGCGUUAUCCGGAAUUAUUGGGCGUAAAGAGGGAGCAGGCGGCAGCAAGGGUCUGUGGUGAAAGCCUGAAGCUUAACUUCAGUAAGCCAUAGAAACCAGGCAGCUAGAGUGCAGGAGAGGAUCGUGGAAUUCCAUGUGUAGCGGUGAAAUGCGUAGAUAUAUGGAGGAACACCAGUGGCGAAGGCGACGAUCUGGCCUGCAACUGACGCUCAGUCCCGAAAGCGUGGGGAGCAAAUAGGAUUAGAUACCCUAGUAGUCCACGCCGUAAACGAUGAGUACUAAGUGUUGGAUGUCAAAGUUCAGUGCUGCAGUUAACGCAAUAAGUACUCCGCCUGAGUAGUACGUUCGCAAGAAUGAAACUCAAAGGAAUUGACGGGGGCCCGCACAAGCGGUGGAGCAUGUGGUUUAAUUCGAAGCAACGCGAAGAACCUUACCAGGUCUUGACAUCCCGAUGACCGGCCCGUAACGGGGCCUUCUCUUCGGAGCAUUGGAGACAGGUGGUGCAUGGUUGUCGUCAGCUCGUGUCGUGAGAUGUUGGGUUAAGUCCCGCAACGAGCGCAACCCUUAUCGUUAGUUACCAUCAUUAAGUUGGGGACUCUAGCGAGACUGCCAGUGACAAGCUGGAGGAAGGCGGGGAUGACGUCAAAUCAUCAUGCCCCUUAUGACCUGGGCUACACACGUGCUACAAUGGAUGGUGCAGAGGGAAGCGAAGCCGCGAGGUGAAGCAAAACCCAUAAAACCAUUCUCAGUUCGGAUUGUAGUCUGCAACUCGACUACAUGAAGUUGGAAUCGCUAGUAAUCGCGAAUCAGCAUGUCGCGGUGAAUACGUUCUCGGGCCUUGUACACACCGCCCGUCACACCACGAGAGUUGAUAACACCCGAAGCCGGUGGCCUAACCGCAAGGAAGGAGCUGUCUAAGGUGGGAUUGAUGAUUGGGGUGAAGUCGUAACAAGGUAUCCCUACGGGAACGUGGGGAUG